rnacentral:misc_RNA from 1 species
CACCGACACGCGCUCAUGCCGGGAGGCCACGCGGUUGGCAGCAUGUACGCUGGCAUCGCACCCGGCACAGAGGUAGGCUGAGUCUGCGCGGCAGUAGACAGUGCAAGCAGCUGCUCGACAUGUGUCACACACGCGAGCCCAGUUGUUACUGGUUCCGCCUCCUCCACCACCGUCACUGGAGUCGUCGUUCUUCAACAUGACUUGGUACUACUCGUGAAAUAGUAGAGUGAAAUGGUAAUGGCUAAAGAAUGAAAGCAGAGAGCACCGAGCAGUAGCGAGAGGAAGGCUGGGGGUGUAACUGUUAACGCAACG